GCAGAGCACUCCUACGGGAGGCAGCAGUAGGGAAUCUUCCACAAUGGGCGAAAGCCUGAUGGAGCAAUGCCGCGUGAGUGAAGAAGGUUUUCGGAUCGUAAAACUCUGUUGUUGAAGAAGAACAUGCGUGAGAGUAACUGUUCACGUACUGACGGUAUUCAACCAGAAAGCCACGGCUAACUACGUGCCAGCAGCCGCGGUAAUACGUAGGUGGCAAGCGUUGUCCGGAUUUAUUGGGCGUAAAGAGAAUGUAGGCGGUUUAUUAAGUUUGAAGUGAAAGCCCUCGGCUCAACCGAGGAAGUGCUUCGAAAACUAGUAAACUUGAGUGCAGAAGAGGAAAGUGGAACUCCAUGUGUAGCGGUGGAAUGCGUAGAUAUAUGGAAGAACACCAGUGGCGAAGGCGGCUUUCUGGCCUGUAACUGACGCUGAGAUUCGAAAGCAUGGGUAGCAAACAGGAUUAGAUACCCUGGUAG
rnacentral:rRNA from 1 species